rnacentral:rRNA from 1 species
AAAGCCUGAUUGCAAGCGACCCCCGCUUGGAAGGAAUGACGGGCUUUCGGGGUUGUAAAACCCCUUUUCGACCAGGGGACGAAAGCGCAAAGUGACCGGUACCCGGUAGAAAAAAGCACCGGGCCAACUUACGGUGCCAGGAAGCCGCGGGUAAAUACGUAGGGGUGCGAGCGUUGUCCGGAAUUUACUGGGGCGUAAAGAGCUUGUUAGGCGGUUCUGUCGGCUUCUUCUGUGAAAAACUUGGGGCUCAACCUUUAAGCUUGCAGGCGAUUCGGGCAGGCUAGAGUACUUCAGGGGAGACUGGAAUUCCCUGGUGUAGCGGUGAAAUGCGCAGAUAUCAGGAGGAACACCGGUGGCGAAGGCGGGUCUCUGGGAAGUUAACUGACGCUGAGAAGCGAAAAGCAUGGGUAGCAAACAGGAUUUAGAUACCCUGGUAGUCCAUGCCGUAAACGGUGGGUACUAGGUGUGGGUUUCCUUCCACGGGAUCCGUGCCGUAGCUAACGCAUUAAGUACCCCGCCUGGGGAGUACGGCCGCAAGGCUAAAACUCAAAGAAAUUGACGGGGGCCCGCACAAGCGGCGGAGCAUGUGGAUUAAUUCGAUGCAACGCGAAGAACCUUACCUGGGUUUGACAUACACCGGAAACCUGCAGAGAUGUAGGCCCCCUUGUGGUCGGUGUACAGGUGGUGCAUGGCUGUCGUCAGCUCGUGUCGUGAGAUGUUGGGUUAAGUCCCGCAACGAGCGCAACCCUUAUCUUAUGUUGCCAGCGCGUAAUGGCGGGGACUCGUGAGAGACUGCCGGGGUCAACUCGGAGGAAGGUGGGGACGACGUCAAGUCAUCAUGCCCCUUAUGUCCAGGGCUUCACACAUGCUACAAUGGCCAGUACAGAGGGCUGCGAGACCGCGAGGUGGA